rnacentral:rRNA from 1 species
CGUUAGCGGCGGACGGGUGAGUAACACGUGGGUAACCUACCUAUAAGACUGGGAUAACUUCGGGAAACCGGAGCUAAUACCGGAUAAUAUUUCGAACCGCAUGGUUCGAUAGUGAAAGAUGGUUUUGCUAUCACUUAUAGAUGGACCUGCGCCGUAUUAGCUAGUUGGUAAGGUAACGGCUUACCAAGGCGACGAUACGUAGCCGACCUGAGAGGGUGAUCGGCCACACUGGAACUGAGACACGGUCCAGACUCCUACGGGAGGCAGCAGAG